UACGUAGGGCGCAAGCGUUGUCCGGAAUUACUGGGCGUAAAGGGCGCGUAGGCGGCCACCGCAAGUCGACUGUGAAAUCUCCGGGCUUAACCCGGAAAGGUCAGCCGAUACUGCGGGGCUAGAGUGCAGAAGGGGCAACUGGAAUUCUCGGUGUAGCGGUGAAAUGCGUAGAUAUCGAGAGGAACACCUGCGGCGAAGGCGGGUUGCUGGGCUGACACUGACGCUGAGGCGCGAAAGCUAGGGGAGCGAACGGG
rnacentral:rRNA from 1 species